GGGUGAGUAAUGUAUCGGAACGUGCCCAGUCGUGGGGGAUAACUGCUCGAAAGAGCAGCUAAUACCGCAUACGACCUGAGGGUGAAAGCGGGGGAUCGCAAGACCUCGCGCGAUUGGAGCGGCCGAUAUCAGAUUAGGUAGUUGGUGAGGUAAAGGCUCACCAAGCCGACGAUCUGUAGCUGGUCUGAGAGGACGACCAGCCACACUGGGACUGAGACACGGCCCAGACUCCUACGGGAGGCAGCAGUGGGGAAUUUUGGACAAUGGGCGCAAGCCUGAUCCAGCCAUGCCGCGUGCGGGAAGAAGGCCUUCGGGUUGUAAACCGCUUUUGUCAGGGAAGAAAAGGUUCUGGCUAAUACCUGGGACUCAUGACGGUACCUGAAGAAUAAGCACCGGCUAACUACGUGCCAGCAGCCGCGGUAAUACGUAGGGUGCAAGCGUUAAUCGGAAUUACUGGGCGUAAAGCGUGCGCAGGCGGUUAUGCAAGACAGAGGUGAAAUCCCCGGGCUCAACCUGGGAACUGCCUUUGUGACUGCAUGGCUAGAGUACGGUAGAGGGGGAUGGAAUUCCGCGUGUAGCAGUGAAAUGCGUAGAUAUGCGGAGGAACACCGAUGGCGAA
rnacentral:rRNA from 1 species